AACGAACGCUGGCGGCAGGCCUAACACAUGCAAGUCGAACGCCGUAGCAAUACGGAGUGGCAGACGGGUGAGUAACGCGUGGGAACAUACCCCUCGGUUCGGAAUAACUCAGGGAAACGUUAGAGCUAAUACCGGAUACGUCCGAGGUUUAAUCGACCUUGGAGAAAGAUUUAUCGCCGGAGGAUUGGCCGCGUCUGAUUAGCUUGUUGGUGAGGUAAUGGCUCACCAAGGCGACGANCAGUAGCUGGUCUGAGAGGAUGAUCAGCCACAUU
rnacentral:rRNA from 1 species